rnacentral:rRNA from 1 species
CCACAUUGGGACUGAGACACGGCCCAGACUCCUACGGGAGGCAGCAGUGGGGAAUAUUGCACAAUGGGGGAAACCCUGAUGCAGCGACGCCGCGUGGAGGAAGAAGGUCUUCGGGUUGUAAACUCCUGUUGUUGAGGAAGAUAAUGACGGUACUCAACAAGGAAGUGACGGCUAACUACGUGCCAGCAGCCGCGGUAAAACGUAGGUCACAAGCGUUGUCCGGAAUUACUGGGUGUAAAGGGAGCGCAGGCGGGAAGACAAGUUGGAAGUGAAAUCCAUGGGCUCAACCCAUGAACUGCUUUCAAAACUGUUUUUCUUGAGUAGUGCAGAGGUAGGCGGAAUUCCCGGUGUAGCGGUGGAAUGCGUAGAUAUCGGGAGGAACACCAGUGGCGAAGGCGGCCUACUGGGCACCAACUGACGCUGAGGCUCGAAAGUGUGGGUAGCAAACAGGAUUAGAUACCCUGGUAGUCCACACCGUAAACGAUGAUUACUAGGUGUUGGAGGAUUGACCCCUUCAGUGCCGCAGUUAACACAAUAAGUAAUCCACCUGGGGAGUACGACCGCAAGGUUGAAACUCAAAGGAAUUGACGGGGGCCCGCACAAGCAGUGGAGUAUGUGGUUUAAUUCGACGCAACGCGAAGAACCUUACCAAGUCUUGACAUCCUGCGACGAUGCUGGAAACAGUAUUUUCCUUCGGGACGCAGAGACAGGUGGUGCAUGGUUGUCGUCAGCUCGUGUCGUGAGAUGUUGGGUUAAGUCCCGCAACGAGCGCAACCCUUAUGGUCAGUUACUACGCAAGAGGACUCUGGCCAGGCUGCCGUUGACAAAACGGAGGAAGGUGGGGAUGACGUCAAAUCAUCAUGCCCUUUAUGACUUGGGCUACACACGUACUACAAUGGCGUUAAACAAAGAGAAGCAAGACCGCGAGGUGGAGCAAAACUCAGAAACAACGUCCCAGUUCGGACUGCAGGCUGCAACUCGCCUGCACGAAGUCGGAAUUGCUAGUAAUCGUGGAUCAGCAUGCCACGGUGAAUACGUUCCCGGGCCUUGUACACACCGCCCGUCACACCAUGAGAGCCGGGGGGACCCGAAGUCGGUAGUCUAACCGCAAGGAGGACGCCGCCGAAGGUAAAACUGGUGAUUGGGGUGAAGUCGUAACAAGGUAG